CCCGUACCUAUCAAAGUAGCAUAGACAUCAACGCGAGAAAUGACAGGCAACAUGACAUUGAAACUUCAACUGUCAAAUGCAGCAUACCUUCAACGUGGCAAGAAGACACAGUGCAAUUAUUAGUUGGUCUACCUAGAGAAAUAUAGUUUCUAAACCUAAAUUACUAUUAUAAUUAGUUAAAAUUCCUACCUAAAUAAGUUUCUAUCAAUUGAAAUAUUCUAAUGAAAUCAAGUUUAGCCGAUAAUUGGGAAACUAAGAUACUUACGCUAAUAGUAUGGGAUCGAAAGGUGUUAAACUACGUGAAAUUUGGCUGUUUAACCAUAUUCUAAGUAGACACGCAAAGAAAACAGAAACAAAGGGUUAGUUUGGACACAGUCGGAGAAGAAGAAAACGAAAAUCUAAGAAGCUGCUGUUAGCUGCUAUCUAGACGUGUUUUACUCCUUGUCCGAACAGUUGGCACAACGAGGCUUACAGUUGCAGUGCCUGGUGCCACGCCCAAACUCAAGACAACGCUGACAUUGAGUUUCUGUUUGCGAACCGCGGUACGGUUCCCAGUGGCGGACAACCCUGCCAAUGGUACGCACUGCCC